ensembl:lncRNA
AGCGGACUUUCUGUCAUGAUAGAAGCAGUCUGUAGAGCUGUUUGGGUCUAACUUAGGCAUGACAUGCAGGUGUGGAGCCUGCCAAGGCUUGAAUACUCUGUUUUCUCGGAGUAAAGAUUUUGGCUCAAGAUUGUGGCUUGCCUGAAUGGAUUCUACAGGCAGAUGCAGCUUUGAAAGAGAGAAAUGCUUCAGGAUAGACCCGUUGUCAUUGGAGAACAAGCCCAUCCCAGCUACAGCAUCAGCCAGUGGAAAGGAAACCUUGCUGAGAAAAUCAGAAGGGAAGCAUGGAACAGCUGGAGGUGCAGGACAGGGAGUGGAAAGGGCAGGAAAGGCAGUUAUGCCUCUUCUGUGGUACUGUGGUCAUUGGCAACUGGAGAUGUACCCAGUGGCUGGGCAGUAAGGUAGAGAUAUACUAAAGAAGUUGCAAGAACAAAUUACACCUGUAGCCAGAAAAAUUCAAGUACAUAUCCCUGAGGAUGAAGCCAUAGAGGCCCAGGUCUUCGUGUUACAGGAAUCACCUCCUGAAUCUGAAAUACCCGAGGAAGUAGACAACAUGGUAAAGCUAUUGUUAUGAGCUGGAGGAACCUCAGGAUGAUCACGGUGGACCAAAUGUGUGAUUGUACAAUUGUAGCUGAACUCCAGACUGGUCAGAAAAAAAAAAAACAUUUGAACUGUUCGUGCAUGAAAGGCUGCAUAAUGCCCUGGGAGUCCUGGCACAGAGACUGAGAUUAUUGAGAGCAUUGGAACUAUUAAAAGAAAUUUUUUAAAAAAGAGUCAAUAUAUGGAAUGAUUCAAAAUUUGCAUUUGGAGUUGUACAUUGCCAUGGAGUAAUAUGGAAGAGAAGAGGACUGCUAUCCUACCAGGGAUCACAAAUAAAAUAUGGACCCAUUAUUAUAGAGCUACUAGAAAGUGUACAGCCUCCUCAGAAAGUAGCCAUAAUGCAUCGCAAAGCACAUCAGUUCAGUAACACUCCAGUGAAUUACAGCAGCUGACUUGCCAAUAGAGCUGCUGAAGCAGCCACAGAAGGAACUCUUUUAUUAGUAAUCCUGGACAAAUAUAAAUAACUAGGGAAAGAAGUCCCACGUUAUCAAGCUAAAGAUGAGAGACUGGCAACAUUACGGACAGUGGUUAAAGAUGACAAAGGAUAGUAGAUAACUCCAGAUAAACAGACAAUUAUCCCUCAAUCUCUUAUGAAUAAAUGGCCAGAAGAUUAUCAUUGAUUGACACAAUGGGGAAUAGAGACAAUGAUAGAAAGCAUGAGACACCAAGUUUUAAGUGUGCGAAUGGCAGGAAUCAUAAAGAAUAUUGUGAAAAGAUAUGAACUCUGUUUGAAAAACAAUCUCCAUCAACCUAAAUGACCUCCACUCAAAACAGCUAAGAAAGGAAACCAUCCAGGAGUUUAUUGGCAGAUGGAUUUUUGUGAAUCACUGCGGUGAUGUGAGCACAGGUAUGUCGUUGUAUGUGCACCUUUACUCCUGGAUGGACUUGUACACCGGUACCAACCUGCAGAUUGAGUGUACCUGAAGACAGGGUCAGAUAAGGAGAAGUGGAGAGGACCCUUCCAGACUUUACUCACCACCCAUGCAGCAGUCAGACUCAAGGGAAUCAGCCUAUGGAUUCACUGCAGUAGAGUCAAGCAGGUUUCUCAUAACAAUAAGUAAUGCAUUUAUUAACGGUGAGGGAAUGAAUGUGAAAGUGAAAAUUUGGUUUUAACAUUAAUACAAGGGUUUGGUAGGAUGUGCAAUGUCACUAGCAUCUGCGUAAUCAUAAUUAUAAGAGGUAUAGGACUGUAUAAGAUGUAUUAAAAGAUAUUUUGAAAGAAAUAUGUGGAAGUAAUUAGAAGAACUAACUAUUUACUUCCCAAGGAGGAAAUUGAUACCUGGCAAUUAAUUAACCACAGGCCCCUUGCAAGGACCCCAUACUAACACAGAGCGUGUGCAGUAUUAGAUUUUAACAUAUAUAGUAAUUCUUGUAAUAGGCAGGCACUCUGUGGAAAAUGUAUGAAUAUUCACACAUGUUCAGUGUAUCUGUGUAUAUCUAUCAAUGUAUCUAUUCAAUCAAUCUGUGUGCUUUUAGCUCCUGGCUUUGCACGUUAGGCGGAGCAAUCCCCUGUGCAUCCAGUAACACAAUAACAAUAUUGUCACAAUAACAAAUGCCUGCUUCUUAAUGCUACAUUAGCAUUAAUGAGUUUUGUUCCUGAUUUCAGUGGCAGAAUUGGUGUUAUUUCUUUUUUUUUUCUUUUUUUUUUUUUCCCCCACCAAGUAUGAGGGCAAGACAUUAUGUGGGUGUAUGAGGUAUCUUUAGAUAUGCAGUGAGACAACUCAGGCACUGGGGAAAACUCAUCUCUGGAUACUGUCUCUGUCUCCCAUUUUAUUUAAGUUUCUUUCAGCUGCUGCCAUGAGCCCAGGAUAUCUCUUUUCAGCUGGCAGGAGCUGACAUAGCAGAAAUAGCUAUCAAAUAUGAUAUAGGUUCUCCCUUUGAAUGCUCCUUCUUGCACCAUUCUUGGUACAGUUUAGGGUACCAGUAGAAGAAAUGAAGAAAGCAGACAUCAAAGAUACUGCACAAGGUCAGUCAGCACCGAGAAGAGCCAACCGUCCUUCUAUAUCUGAUGCAAAGUGCCACAUCUUAGCUUUGUUUUCUUUUUCAAAAACUCUACUGGAAUUUGAAGAGGUUUUAAAACACCAGUACAUGAUUUGAAUAAUUGUAUGCUCCAAGGAAUGUAUGCCACCCAGAACAACUGGUCUGUCCCAGAGAAAUAGUACAACACUUCCGAAACGGAAGAAAAGCCUGACUUCUACUGACUUCAGUCUUCUUUUGCAAGUGGGACUUCCCACUGAGAAUCUAAAUAUGCAUCAGAUGUCUAAAAACAGUAAAUCAUUUAAGGGUUUUAACUAGGAAAAUAGUUCAGCAGCCCUUAUGAAUUAUUACUUUUUCACAUUAUUGCAAUUAAAAAUCCUCAUUUUCUCAGUGUUUGCAUAAGCAAAGUGGUUUGCCUACGGUGAAUGCAGCUCCACUGAAGGAUGUGAUACCUACUCUGCAUUGGUGCUCUCUGUUCCAAUGGGUGCAACUCUGCCAAUACUGCAGAAAUUUGAGGAUGCUUUUCUCUGAAGCAGUAGUGUUUAAAAUUUCAUCCUGUCCAUUAGAUUGCUCCAGAAUUAGCCUUGUAAGUACAUCUGAGUUCUGUGGCAUCAUGUUGCACUAAAAGCCAGUCUCUGAGAUGAGGGACUCAGGCAGUUUAUUUAUAGUUCAGAAGGUCAAAUAGUUGCCUUAAUUGGAAAACACCACUCACCAGUCUCUGAGCGUAUUGAUGUACUUUGCAUUCGAUGCCAUUAGUUACUUGUGUGAGUUUCUAAUAUCACCUUUGUUAAUAAGAUACAUUCUCCAUAAUGGGCUGCUUGCAGGUUCCAAGAGCCAUUUAUAUGCUAAGUUUGACAAGUUAGAUGAUGCUAAACCCAUACUGAAAGCAAUAGCUGUCAGAACUGUACCUGGGUGCCAGGCAGAUGUCUGUGACCUUCAAACUGUUUUGGGAUGGGAUGUGCUAAAUCCCGUCUGUAUGGUAUGUGACCAGGCAGCAAAGGUAUUUCUUCAAAUAUAUCUUGAAUUCCUGCCAGAAAAGUUGUAUAUAAACCUCACAGCAAAAGUUUGAUGGACUUGGCUUGUAGUAGAAGGAAGGUGAAAUAAAGUCACAGAAUCACAGAAGUUGGAAGGGACCUCAAGAGAUCAUUGAGUCCAACCCGCUGCCAAAGCAGGUGCCCUACAACAGGUCACACAGGUUGGUGUCCAGACAGGACUUGAAUAUCUCCAGAGAAGGAGAAGGCAAGGUGCUCCCAACAUGUCUGAAUUAAAGCAUACGAUAGCAAACACACUGAGUGAUUUGAGAGACCUGAAGAUCUCUCAUCCAUAGAGAUGCAGAUUAGGGAAAAAAAACCACAAAAACAAACCUCUUCUCAACGCAAAGGAAACUAUCUUAAAGAAGUCUAAAAAAUUCCUCUUGAUUUCACUUCUGCUGUUCCCACACUUUCCCUUGCCUACUAUUGUUGCUGAAGGUCAUGUCAAGUUUUACAUGUAGUAUGGCCCAGUAGACACAUGAUCUUAACCAUAGGAGGAAGGCAAAAUGUUAAUGUUCAUUGUGUGGAUUUAUGUAGGAAGGGAGCAAGGAAGAGGAUUAAUAUGGAGGUGGCUAAUGCUGGGACUACUCCAAGUUUCUCUGGAAUCGAGCUCAGGAUGGCAUAUACAAAUAGGAAUCACACCUCUGGUUUGAUGUGAGGGGGUGUGACUAGUGAAGUUGCUGAUGUGAAGUUUUCUGGGUCCCUUAAGAGGUUAGGGGAGAAUAAGGCUAAUAUUAGGAAGGGGAUAAAGGCAUGGGCUGAGAUGUGAAGGAAAGCUAGUUGUGAGAGAUCAAGUCCAGUGGUGACUAUUAUUAAGCUUAGCUGGCUGGAGGUGAACCUGAGGAUGUCUUUUAAUGAGAAGUAGUGAUAGAAGGGAUGGGUUGGGAGGUGAAUUAGGGAAUUGCUGACUAUUUUUAGUAGGGGAUGGGAUUUUCAGAUGUUGAGGGCCAUUAUUUUAUUAUCUAUGGGCUGAUAGAUUAAUUAUUAACAUUGAUAGAGUGAAGAAUCCUCAGUAGGUUUUGAUUAAGCCUGUGGAAUGUAGUUGUGAUUUUGCUUGCUGUCAGGUGGAGGUUAGCAAAGCCUUUGGGGCCUAUUUUCUUGUGUCAGGAUAUAUCGAUUAGGUGAAAGGCAAUUUUUUGUCCUUUAUUUAGUAGGUCUGUACAGCUGGAUCAGAGCAUUAGGGAGCUUAAAGUAGCCUAAGGAGGAGAAGUUUCUAAGGGUACUUUGUUUUAAGGGGAAGGUAAAGGUGUGGGUUAUAUUUGAAGUUCUAGAACUAGAAUAAUUCUGAGAAUUGUGAGCACAUAUAUAUGUAUUUUUAUAUAUAUAUAUAUAUGUAUAUAUAAACACUAAUAACCCAAUGAAACAUCCUACCAGUCCAAAUCACAUCCAUCCAAAACUCUAUCAUUUAUCAUAAACUUCAUAAUCCCCCUAACCUUAAAAAUAGACCCAUGCUCAAUACUAUUUUUCCAAUUGCAUAAUUUGUAACUUGAUCAAUCCUGGAAUUUGUAACAUGAUGCAUAGCCUCAGAACCAUGUAUCAAGAAAUUCUUCACCUAUCUUCUUUACGUCCGAAUUGCCAUACUAACCAUUGCAAACAGCAUAUUCCUUCUUUUGUAGGCUGAGAGGAAUUAUGUCAUUCCUAUUCAUUGGCUGAUGACAAUGUCAAGCCAAAACUAACACAGCAGCAUUAAAAGCUGUAGUCUACCACCAGAUUGAAGAUAUAUAAGGCAAUGUAAUAUAACACAAAAUAGAGAUAAGCAUGUGAGUUUUUAACACUUGAAUUCAGUACUGUGCAGUACAAAGUACAAAGGAUCUAAGUAGAGUAAAUUUAAAUUUAAGAAGGUAAGCAGUUUUAGUUAGUUUAAAAUGGCAGGCUGGAGUAUUUAUUUGAUAAAAAGUCAUUCAAGUAUUUGACAGAAAGUCAUAGAAAUGAAAAAGCUAGACAUAACUGUUUUUAAAACAGCAUAACAACAUAAAAUGGGAAGAAGAGAGACUGAGAUUGUACUAUUAAUGUUUUCAUGAAGAAACAAAACACCAGACUUAAACAAGCAAACUCUAGUGGAGGAAAUAGAAACCCUAUUUUCUGCGGAGUGUGCAGUGAGACAUAAUGGCUGUAUAACUUCUAAAAGUUUAUAGUUUAGUGGUGCAGGCUCAGAAUAAAAGAAUUCAAUAGCAAAAUGAGUCAACACUUAAACCUAAAUUGUAAUUUAUAAGGGACUCUCUUCUCACGCAAAUCAAAUUUGGAAGCAGAAUAAUGUCUUCUGAUAGCGAGGCAGUAUUUGCUGAAUGUUCUGGGUGGCAGUUUGCAAUACACAGACAUUUGAAAUUACAUUUAUAAAAUAAAUGUUCAAUUCAAAACAAUUUUUAGCCUAUUUGCUGACACAUAAUACAAAAUUGUUGCUACACUAUAUAUUUCUUCAUAUAAGGCAUUGCAACACGCAGACAGUAAUGAAAAAUGGAGGCAACAGAGUUCUUGCAAAUGAAAGCAAGAAUGUAACUCUGUUCUUCCUGCUUCCCACCAGGGAAUGGUGGCUUCCAAAACACUGGAAAACAAGGCAGUUGGUGAGAAAGUCUCAGAAUUGACUCCAUGUGUUAAAAAAAGAAGGCCAAACAAAGCCAAGAGUGGUCACUCCCUGGCAUGUGCACCCUGCCUGAUACUUCAGGGAGAACAGAGUCACAUGGGCCUACACAUCACUGUCUCUCUCCUUCACUCUGCAUCUGCCAGGACAGAUGCAAUAAGGAUGCUGGUGCAUAUUGAAGCUCUGCUCUUCCAGUGGAUCUCAGCAGAAUGCACACUGAAAUUUCUCAUAGCUGAUGUACUCUCCUCACAGCUUAGAAGCCCCACUCACAGCAUCACAUAACAGUCCAGACUGAAAGGGACCAUAAAGCCCACUCAGGCCCAACCCACUGCCAUGGCCUGGCUGCCCCCUCCAGCUCAGGCUGCCCAGGGGCCAAUCCAACCUGUCCUUGAGUGCCUCCAGGGAUGGGGCACCACAACUUCUCCGGGCAGCUGUGCCAGGGCCUCACUGCCCUCUGAGUAAGGAAUUUCAUCCUAACAUCUAACCUAAAUCAUGAGUUUUUCGGUUCAAAACUAUCACUCCUUUUCCUAUCACUAUCACUGCAAACUGUCUAAGAGUGCACUCAGCCCCACUGUCCAUGUCAAUGAGAGAUGUUCAGUAGUGCCAGUCCCAACACACACCCCUGAGGAACACCUCUUGUUACUUUUCUCCACCUGGACAUCAAGCCAUUGACCUCAGUUCUUUGAGUGAGACCAUCCGGCUGAUUUGGUCUGCAGCUGCUAGUAUUGUUUGUGUAUCCCCAGUAAGUUCACAAUCCAUACAAAAACAUUCAGACUUUGAUUAAGUCUUGCAAUGCAAAUCUAGGACAACGUUAGAUAAACUGAAUUUGCAUGUGAAAUUAAAUAGCACUAGGGACACUGUUCUGAGUUACGAAUUUUCACUUUUCAUUUAAUUAAGAACUUGUACUUUCAAAGUAACCUGAAUCUAUCACAUAAUCUCCAGUAGUACGCACCACAGUGCUGCAAGAACUGUGAACCUUUUAGCUAAACUUUAGAAUAGCAUGGCAUAAGCAUAGCAUAGUUCAGUUGGAAGAGACCUUCAGACAUCAUCUAGUCCAAGUGUCUGACCUCAUCAGGGCUAAACAAGAGUUAAGUUAAUGAAAGCAUCAUCCAAAUGCCUCUUGAACAUGGGACAUCAACCACCUCUCUAAGUAGCCUGUUCCAGUGUCUGAUUGCACUCACAGCAAAGACAUUUUUCCUGAUGUCCGGUCUAAUCCUCCCAUGGCACAGCUUGUGCUGUUCCCAUCCAGUUCCUAGGAGCAGAGCCAGGUAACUCCCUCUCCAUUCCCCUCCUCAGGGAGCUGCAGAGAGCAGUGAGGUCACCUCUUGGCCUCCCAUUCUCCAGACUAGACAACCCCAGUGUCCUCAGCCUCUGCUCACAGCACAUGCCUUACAACCCUGUUACCAGCUUUGUUGUUCUCUGGAUGCUUUCAAGGACCUCAUCAUCCGUUCCGUAUUGUGGAGCCCAGAACUGCACACAGCACUCCAGGUGAGGCCACACCAUUGCUAGAGAUACAGUGGGAUAAGCAGCUCUUUUGACCAGCUGGUCAUGCUGUGUUUAUUGCACCUCCAAGGGCAGUUUGCCCAUUUGACUGCCAGGGCACACUGCUGGCUCAUGCUGAGCCUGCUGUCACCAGCACCCCAAGGAACCUUCAUGCUGAGCUGCUCUCCAGCCACUCCUUUCCCAUCUGUGCUUGGGUCUGGCAUUGCUCUGUCCCAGGAGUAAAACUCAGCCAUUUCCUUCAUUGAACUUGAUGCCAUUGAUAAAUGCCCAGUGCUCCAAUCAACCCAGAUCCCUCUGCAAGACCUCUUGCCCCUUGAGGAAUUCAACAGCACCUUCCGGUUUAGUGUCAUCAGUAAACUUGUUAAGGAUGCACUCAACCCCUGCACCCAGAUCACUGACAAAAACAUGGAGCAUAACUGGCCCUAGACUUGCACCCUGGGAAAUAUCACUAGUGAUCAUCUGUCAGAUACAUGUAGACCCAUUCACUGUAAAUCUCUGAACUCCACUGUUGAUCCAGUUUACUCUGUAGCACAGCAUAAAUCUGUUAGUCUCACCAUUGGACAGUGUAAUGCUAUUAUGUGUUCGAAAGUAAAGCAAUAAUAGUAGAGUGGCUAUCCUAUCCUAGGCUGCAGCAAAUGAGAACAAGCCCAAAUGCAGCAGCUGUAGACAUGGAAACAAAGGAAGAAAAACUUCUUACCUUUGGAAGGUCUCAGGUAGGCAGAUACCUCCAGAGAAAUACCCUCACCUCCCCCUGCCAGCCCUUAAAUGAGGUCUGGGAAGGGGUGGAUCCUGGCUUCCUUCUGGUCACUCAGCUGCACUGCAUGCAUCAGGGCUCCCCUGGGUUGGCCCUGCCUUCCCACCAGGUGCUCAAUCACUGCUUCAAGCUGUGACUUAGCAUUUCCGCUACAGACAGUUUGUCCAGAAGGAUGCUAUGAAGGACAAAAUCAAAGGCCUUACUAAAAUCCAGAAAGAUUAUGUCCGCUGCCUUCCCUUCAUCCACAAAGCAGGUGACCUUAUCAUAGAAGGAGAUAAAAUUACUAAGGCAGGACUUUCUCUUAAUGAAUCCAUGUUGAUUAUGCCUCAUAAUAGCUUUGUUCUUCAAAUGCCUUUCAAUACCCCCAGCACAGUCUUUGUAUUCUUUCUAAAGACUGAGGUUAGACUAACAGGUCUGUGGUUUCCUGGGUCUUCUCUUGUGCCCCUUUUGUAGUUGUUUAUAACACUGGCUAGUUUCUAGUCAGCAGGGAUGUUCCCAGGCUACCAAGACCUUUGGUAAUUCAUUGAGAGGGGUCCAGCUACAACAUCCAUUAAUUCCUUUAGUCUGGAAUGAACACUAUCAAGCCUCAUGGACUUAAGAACAUUAAGCUGGUACAGAUGGUCCCUUAUGAUUUGGUGGCCACAAAUAUAUAAAUCUCUGCUCCUGUUGCAUGGAUUCUAGCAAAAUGAUUCACCAGACUUCUCUCAAAAUAAAAACUUCCACGUUACCUUGUCCUCCAGUGGACACUGCCUUCACUGUGCUCUUUCAGUGAACCUCUGGUGCCUUCCUCACUAAAUUCUUCUUACUUUUGGGAUGAGCUAAGCUGGGCCUUGAGUUCCAUACUUUUCAGAUGCCACUAUGGAAGAAAAGACAAGACAGGCGCCUGAGCGUUGUUCUGGAUUUUCCUAGACUCUAAAGUUUGUUUCUGCCUGUUUCAAACAAGAGUGAAGUAUGUGGAAGUCUCAGGUAAUAGCUCCUGAAGUCAUGAGCUACUUCCUCAGGCCCUACAUGAAGAUUAAAUGAGUUAGUCAGUGGCAAACUGCUGAGACUACAGCUCAGCUUUCUUAACUCUUUCAAGUGCUUCAUCCAUCUGUCUUCACCACCUGCCAUGGUUAAUUUUUAACAUCUGCAAAGCUGUAAUGGAAUCAUUUACAUGCUUACAACAAAACACGCACUGUUUGCUGGAUUCUGUCAAUGUUGCUUAAAUUUUACUUCUACAGCUAAACUGCAGAAAAAAGUGUCUCAGGCAAUAUAGAGAACAGGUGACACUUGAUAGCCACAGUUAUCAUAUUUGGAUUCUUUUUUUAUUGAGAACAACACUUCAAGGACAGAUGGAUUAUUACCUUUCCACAAAAGUACUCACAUUUCUGCUGAGUAACCUUCUUAUCAUCUCCUUUUAUUACUAAAUCUUAAUGAGAUAGUAAUAUAAAACAUAAUUAAUUUUAUCAUCAUUUUAAAAUUAAUGUGAUAAUCAAAGUAGAAUUCCAUCUGCAGAACCCAUUUUGGAUCUUCGGUCUUCUAAAAAUUCCCUAUAGUGCCCACCCCGCUACUGAUGAUGAUAAAUUUGGGGAUUACGUUUCUGGAUAACAGAGUGAGAAUGAUACUCUUGUCAAUAGGAUGCCAAGUAGUUAUCAGGUGGUAAAAACUAACCAAGCCCUUAUAAUCAACAGUAGAGAAUGAUGGCUUUGCAUUUAAUGGACUGGAUAGGAACUCAGUUUGUCUCUUAAGUGUACUUAGCAUCUACACAACACAUACAUCCCGUACAGUACAGGCCCGUGAGCACACACAGUCAAGAAGCAAUGGCUUAUGAGAGUGAUUGUAGCUAAUGAAUUUCACUUCACAGCUCAGGGGUACACACGUGGGCUGCUACUCACUCCUAGUGCUGAGCAGUGCUUUAUUAAAAUCCCAUGACUUGAUCACACGCAGCCCACAUGCUCAUGCCCUGUUCCUGAGUUCAGUAACCUUGGGGAACUGGGUUUGCAGCCCCAAAAUCAGAAAUUAGUUGGUAACUGCUCAGGACUUAGCAAACAGGCUGCACUGGCACACAUGAAGGAAGUGACUUUGUAAACCCUGUCACUGAUGGCCUGAAGUGAUCUUUGUUUCCCAGCUAUAGAAUACAAUCAUGAACACAGAUGACUGUGAUGACUGUAGGCUGUGAAGCCCUUUACCUGUUUCAUCUUUUGAGGCUCCAGUCCUGCAGCACACACACACACAAUUUUAUCACUGUGAGAGGAGCUGCACUAGGAAUGAGGUUGGCAAGUUCAUGCUUACAAGGUCAUGGACUAAUAAAUAUUUGGGAUGAGAUUUAUUCCCUAGUUAAUGGCCCAAACAGCGCACAGGCAGCAGAUCCUUUUUUCUCCAGUAAGAAAGCAUGUAAUAAUAAUAAUGAAGUGAAAAGUUCUAUCCUUUGUCAUUUCACAGCACUGUCAUAUUAUACAUCUAGUACAAUGUUUGGCUUUUCUGACUGGCCCUGUUAAUUUAUGAUGUAUCCAUAGGAAUGCAGACUUGGAAGACAGACUGGCCAUUUCUAAUAAGUAUUAUACAAUUAUACAGUGUCACACAAUUGCUAAACAAGAGAAAGGAAAAGAGACCUGCUUUGCAAAGCUCUGAAUUUCUAACAUGCAAUUGGCCCAAUGGGACACGGAGGUUUCAAUCAAUAGCACACCUAUUUACAUGGACUGAUGUAAUUCAGACAGGCAAAAAGAAGCAUGAAAGACUAAGUAGCUAAGGACUGCUGCCCUGUUUUUAUUUCAGUUCCUUUCCACAAGGCUGCACAGCACUAUUAUCAGGUGAGAGGCACUGAGCGGCAUUUCAUGUAUUAUUUAAGAGAAACCACAGCUGUUUUAGAUGGUAAAAGGGUGCAAUGUCAAGUGAGUAUUAUCCGUUAUUUUCACUUGAGCUGAGAAAUGUUUUAGCACCGUUUCCUCUCUACAGGGAAACCUGGCUAGUGGGUCACUUCUCACUCCUAUCACUGAGGCCUCGAGAGCUGCUUUAAUGAGUGCUAGCUCCCCGCUGAUUAUUGAUUCCAUCUGGCUCAAUGAACAGGAAUAAAUAGUUCCUAAUUUGUUGUGGCAUUGCGUAGAUGUGUUUAUUUAUUAAAGGAGAGAGCUGUGGCAGCAUGCAUCCCAUUCAGCACCAGUACCACGAGCUUGGUAUUGGCAGGAGAGAAGCAAAUCCCUGCCGCUGAGCGGCAGGCCAUGCCAGGUAGCUGGCAUGGUGAGAUGCUCACAGUUACUGCCUCUCUGCAAUGGUCAGUCUCUAGGCUCCCUCUCACACAUCUGAUCACAUCUGUCACCAAAGACAUUCCCAUGUCAAACCCUUUCGUCCCACUCAUUGAGGUCCUUGUCCCUGACACUAUAGCUGCAUUUGCAUGAACAGGAACACUCUGGUGCUGCUAUGAUCAUAUUAUCCAACAUCCCGAACUAAUUCAUGUAUAGCUGCACAGCCCUCCAGUGUGCUGGGAGACUCUGUGGUCACUUUUAUGGCCUAAAAGUCACUACUGUGUCACUACUUUGACAUCUUGACAUUGAGGGUUUGAAAUUAGUUCACAGGAAAACAAGAACAAGCUGAAACCAGUUCAAGGUUGCAGGGAGUAGUUUCCCCCAGAUUAUCAGAUUUGUCUUCAGGAAACCUGUGUUCCAGCUUAAUGUUAUUACCCGCAGGAGCAAACUCCAUACUAUAGCUAACCUGCCGAUAAAAUGAGGUCUAAGUUGUUCCUUUUUCCUUAUCUCUGCCUGCUUUAUCCAUGGACAUUUGACUGUCCAGGCCAGGGAAAGUCUCUCACUCCUUAUUCAAGCCAAAACUUUUUACUAUGAGAACAUCAUCCGCGCAGGGGCCUUCAGGAAUCUCUAUUACAGAAAUAACAACAAAUUUUAUCCAAAGGAAAAAGGCAAGAAAUUAUGUAUGGUUUUCCUGAAAGCACUAUGAUAUGCUGCAAAGACAUUUUUUGCCCUCCUGUAAUGAAACAAAAAAUGGUACAACACUGAAUCCCAAAUGUGCUCUUCUUUCAGUAAUGUAAUAUUACAGAACUCUAGCGAGGCAACUGAUGUUUCUUUCCUUUCAUUUAUUUUCUCUAAAGAUAGUUACUCAGCUCUGUGAGUUGGAACUGGAUGUUCUAUACUGAUGAUUAAAUAACCCAAUUAGUCCUAGGUUUUAAUCACUAAAUAUUCUUGUUGGAGUAUAUUUAGAAUACAUUCUUAUAAUUCCAUUGGCAAUUUCACAGACAAUGAAGAGAAGUAAGUUGGAGGAGAGGGUUUGCCUUCUGCCUAUACCCAACAGUAUUGUAUUUUCUGACAGCUGUAGGCCCUUCAUUCCCAGAAAUUACUCUACUUUGUCAUACUUACUCUAGGGAGGGAGAAGUUGUGUCAGAAAUGGAAGCAUGAAAUAGGGCACUUCAAUGGAUAGAGCAAUUCCAGGAGGGAAUUCUGCACUGAAUGAGUCAUCACCAGACCUCUAUAGUUCACUGCUUGUAUUUGUGUAUAAACAAGUGCAGACUCCAGGAAAAAAAGAUGCCUCUACUACCUCUCUAAGAGCAUGCAUAUUAAGGUCCUCAUCAGACCUCUGCUCUCACACAUGGAAGUAGCCUACUCUCAGCUGCCUUGUUCAGAAAAUCUUGUGAACAGAGGUUUGUUAGUGAGAUUCUUGACAUCGUCUACAACAAUACCUGAUGGUACCAACCCUAUUAGACUAACUUUAACUGAAUGCAAAAUAUACCACAUAAACAAGAAAGCACCCAGAAGUGCUGGGAGUCAGACACAUUUGUCUUCCUUGCCCAUUACCAAUCAAUGCCCUUGCCACGUUAUUUGGGUCAGGAAGGACAAGCUCACUCCUCUUCUUUCCCUCAUCCCCAAGUAUGGGAUCUAAGAGAAGAAAGGAGAGCAGCAAAACUUUACAGCAGUGUUUUAUGCUUACCCCAGGCACUUGCCCUGAGAGGGCAAGGUUUUCUCCCUGUGUUGAGUUACAGAGAAUUACAGUUACUGAGUUACAGGCCUGAUGCUGAGACCCAUCACACACACUGUUUGAGCUGUUACUCCAGUGCAUGAAAACUAGCGCACAAAUGCAACUUCUGAGGUGCAGAUGAACUUGUGCAAGUACUCAGUGAAGCAAUGCGAUCUUAUUUGCACAUCUGGUACAGGCCAGAGAGAAAUAAUUCAGUCGAAGCAAAAUCAGCAGGGGGUUACAAUAAUUCCUUGAUUAAAAUUUGUGAUUUUUAAACAGACGUAUCUGAUGCAAUGAGAACGAAAGGUAACACACGUUCAUUAACUCACAUAUGGAAUCUCAAAGUAAUGUCUUUCGACUCAGUAAUAAAUCAGAGCUGACAUUUAAUAAAGUCAGUCUCACAAUGUUUCUCAUUUGAUUAUGGCCACAGCGCUUCAGGAAAGCUGCUAGUUGUUUCUCAGACACUCGUGUGUAUAGAUACCAGUGACUGUAUUUUCUCUUUUUUUACCUGCAGUCUGGGCUGUUCUGUUACUUUUCCCCAGUGGUUACAUUUGACUGAAAGAAAGGAACUGCCAUCCAAGAUAUUGAGAUUUCAGAAUUCUUUCACAGUUGGGGUGAGAAUAAGACAUCUUAGAAUCACUUGCAAACAAAACACUGAGAAAUAUUUUCUUCAUACAUUUUCUUUCUUCCUUCAUAUCAAUAAAGUUGGAGCUGGUGAUUUGUACUUACAUUAUGUUAUGCAGUCAAAAUAGAAAAUAGGAAAUAGAUGCUUGGACCUUUCUGAAAUUAAACAUUGCACCUUUCUGUUAGAAAGACUUAACAAUAAUUAUCCACUGAGAAUUUGACCAAAAAUGACAUUUAUCCGUGUGAUAUUUUCAUUCUGUAGCAUCAGCAUUUUCCAGUUUAAACAAGUAACCUUUGGAAAUUUUGAACUAGCCUUAUCUGAUGCAAGUUAAGCUGUACUGUCAUUACUAUGUGGGGCUCUGUCACUUGUUCACAGGAAGCAGUACCUGCAGAACUUAUCUUUGAGUUUAGAAGACAAGAUUGUGCAUCUCAGUAUGAAGUAUUCAUGAAAGCAGAAGAGAAAUAGAUAAGGGGAAAAAAAAAAACCAACACAACACGCAUAUUCAGGCACAGCAUAACAGAAGCAGAGAGCAAUGGAACACGGAAUAAACUGUGUAUAUGAAAAUGUGGUGUCCUAUCUAUAAAAACGCUAACAACUCAUGGGACUAUUGAUAGAUAACACAAGAAGUGUAUAAGCUUUUUGUCCAGAAACUUGCUUGCCUAUGAUUUGGUGUGUGAUACACAAUGCUGUGGGCAGAUGUCUAGAGGAUUUGCUCUUUAGAGUGUUAAGGACACAAAUGUAUGGUAAUUGUAGUUUCUCUGUUGUAAUACAGUUGAACAAAAUGGUCUAAUAUCUGGGAUACCACUUCUCAGAUGUCUCUGGUACUUGCACAGAAGCCAUUUGAUUUCAUGUUUAUGGAUAUACAUAUACUUACAUAUACAUACAUAUCUAUGGCUCAUGGUGACUUUCUUGUUGAGACUGAACCACAACAGACUACCUUUCUCUGUAACUACAGCACUUGUAGCCUCAUUUGAAACCUUACAUCAAGUAUAGAAAGAUAAUAAGACAGAUUCCGCUAAACUGAUUUCUACUCAAUCACCACUGAGUAGCAGGAAUACUGUCAGCUGCACAGACUCCACUUCAGCACUGGGGAUGGAUGUGGAAGGGAUCUGCUUUCCUUCCUCUCCCCAGCCAAGAAACAGGAGGUGCAGAGAAGCUGCAUGAGGCCACAGGGUCCCCAGAGAGACUCAUAAAAUCUAAUGAACUUCCUUCUUCCCUGCUCCCUUGUCAGAAUUUCCCCUAUUGCUACUACACUUAGUGGCAUUAGGAUCUUUGAGCUACUUAGCUAUUGGCUAUUUAUAUCCUUGUUAUGAAACAUUCAAAUAAUGUUGCCAGCGUCACCUUUACAGCUCUGCCCCUGAGGUCCUUCAGCGCCCUGACACAGGAAUACCGAAGCAGAGAGUCACAAAAUAGUUGAACCCAAAUUCGGAGGUUAUCUCUGCUAACUUCAGGGUACAAUCCUACACUUACAGGCUAAGUAAGUUCCCCUGCAAGUCCUGUGCUGCAAAUUGGAUCUUAAUGUUACUCUUAUAAAAAAUAACAGUGAAAAAUGAAUGGGAAUAGCUAAAAUUCUUUUUUUUUUUUUUCUCUGGGAAAAGAAGCACUGCAAAGAGAUGUAUGUAUAAAUCUAAACACAGGGAAUAAUGUAUUAAAAUGUCAGUACGACUUUUCCUAACAUUAAAUGUGUAUCAGGUAUCUUUUCAAGGAUACUCACUUCAAAGGGCUGUAUGAGUUUGACUCACACUUCUGUUUUUCUAGUUUUAUGCCAUUCAUAUCAAAAUACACUAAAAAUGUAAUAAAACUUUGCAGCUAAAGAAGUAUAAACACAUCCAAGGAGCAUAUGUAUAUGUUUCUAUUAAUGACUUACUUAUGUGGUGCCACAUUUAUUAUAUUCAGGAUCAAAAUAUUCUCCUGCUCUUUUUUUCCCCCCAGAAUGCAUCCUACAUUGCUCUUCACUCAGCCCCUGCUGAAGAGAGGCAUCCCUGACCAAAGCACUCAUGGCCACAGAUAGGAAAAUGACAAAUUACAUGUCAGGUCAUUUGGGGGCAAUCACCGCUUCCUCUGAACCAGAAGAAUGAAAGAAUAGUACCACAUGGAAAGUUGUGAUCUCCUAGAAAGAAUAAGCAGCAAACUGGAUGUACUGAGCACGUAGCCUCUCUCACCUUCACGUACACAAACUGUAGCAGAACUGAGCAGAUGAAAUAAAUGAUCUUAAAAAGACAAACUAGGCAAGAACUUAUUUUGCUGGAACUUGAUGAGUGUGCAGAAGAAAUUGGUAUGGGAACUAAAAAUUGUUCCUAUUGAUAAGGUAAGAACAUAUAAUUUCUGUAGAAGAAACACUUAAAAAGAGACCUUUUUUUGGUAAAGUAUGAUGUAAGUCUGCAAGUCUAUCUCCCAGGGAAAAAACCAACCAUAUCCAAAGCCCACUUAGGGCUUCUGCUGGUGACCAGCCCUAGCUAGGUCUCUAGCACUGAUUCCGGUUACAGGUGAAGAUUAAUUGAACCUUUUUGUUUAGCUUUUUUUGUUUUGUUUUGUUUUGUUUUUUUCAAUCUUACUUUGGGGAUAAAACUUUGGAUAGUCAUGGAUAAAAUAAAAGCCAGAAAACAAUCUUACAUGUUCAUGAAAGUACAUGUAGCCUUAAAUACCUGAGUCCAGUAUUUCCUGUUCAAAGAAUUCUGGAUAUAGCUCCCUCUGCAAAACAAAAUACAGAACAAACUUUAAGUCAUUGGUGACAAAUACAGAUGAAUUUAUCUGUGCCACGCUGGGCACUCCUCAGUCCAGUUAGCUGUACUAUGGCAGAAAUGGCACAACCAUUACCAUUUUACAUUUAUCCAUUCAGUGGAGUCAGUGCCUAAACUCAAUUCCCUGAGAUCAUCUCCACAUUGUCAAAAAGGUUUCUGACUGGCUGCUUUUCUAUGCAGGGUUGUCGUGCCAGGCCACUGCUCUAGUUAACUACUGAUAGAAGAAUCAAUUACUGAUAGAAGACACCAUUGCUAUCCAUUCUCCCUUGCCUUUAGGAGCACUUUUUGUUUCCUUUUAAAGUAGGUACUGUAACUAUUCCUCAGAAUCUUUCAAUAAGAAUGAUCACCAGACAGCUUUAGUGCUGCACGUGCUUUAGUCAUGCAAGACUUUUCUCAUUCUGCUCUGGAAUUUUCAUCACAUUCAUCUCAACAGAAGAUGAGAACAUGGUUUCCUGACUGCUUUGCAGUAACGCCUAGCACUGAAAACACAUAUGCUUUCCGACUGCCAGAUAAAAAGAGGCAGAAUGUCCUGUUUAACACUACCUCACCAGAAACACAGGUUGGACAAGCCUUCCUGAUUCACUUUUGUUCACAACUGUUAUUGCAGUAUUUUUAAAGACUUUCCUUAUCCCAUGGACAAACUGCAUUUUUAGAAUUAUUUUUAACAAAUUAUUGUUCCAGAAUUGCUUCUUGUGAAAAGAUGGUGAACAGUUUGAAAGAGCGCAGGAUCUUUGUGAGCUCCUGCAUGACUGUCUGGCAGCAGGACUUCCUAUCCACUAGGAAUUUGAUUAAAGUAAGACUCAUCAAUUUAAACAGUCAAAUUCCCCAGCUGCCCAUGCUAAAGACAAAAGGGGAUCCAAUUAAUUAAUCACAGCCUGAAGGAGCAUAAUUAAUUAUAAGUUUUACCAAUAUCAACUUCCUGACUGUAAGAGAGCUUGGAACACAGAUGUCUAACCAAGAAAACAGCUCUGUGAAUCUGACUGUUUCCCUUGUUCUUUAAGUGAUGGUAAGAGGAAGGAAAAAGAAAGCUAAACCAGUGUAUUUGAUUAAUGUAGUUGACAAAUCUGCCAAAAACAAACAACCAACAGCAACAGCAAAAACCAAAACAGCAGUAGGGAAUGUUCUUUGAAAUUGCUUCUGGCUUCAAAUGUAAAUACACCUUUCCUUCUAACCUGAUUUUGUUAUGCAAUUUACGGCAGUGACACCAGUUAGUCAGAGAAAUGAAGAGCUGCAAAGGACUUCAAGAGGUCACCUAGACUGUCCUCUUCAAUCUAGGACAGAAUUAAUUCCAUCUGGAUGCACAGACAUAUUUUUAAACACAUUUUUGAAGCUUGUGUCACCAGAUAUUCUACCACUUUCCUGCAUUUCCUACCGGUAUCAAAAGAAUAUUUUCCUAAUACUUAACCUCAUUUUCUGUGCUGUAAGUUAAGCCAAUUAUUACUUACCCUGCCUUUGAGGAAGAGGAACAGAUUAGCAAACCACGUUUUUACUGAACAGCAAAUUCCAACUUCCAAAAUCCCAAGUCAGAGCAAAAAGCCAAAAUGCCAUCAUUUUCCUCAAAAUAGAACUGUCUUACCUCAAAUUAAGUUGAUCAAAUAGAUUUGAAGAACAUCUAAUCAUUUGUCUAAUUAUCCUUUCAUAUGAUCACCUAAACAAAGAAUCUGCAUGUAAUCAUUCAAAGAGGAUCUUUUAACACUAUCAGAAUGGAACAAGAAAGCUGAAAUGUUUCUUCUUUCAUGCUAGUGAGAAUUUACAUGCCUAUGACUUGUUUGGCUUUCAAAUAAAUUUAAAUAAAGGUUUUUUUAACCAA